rnacentral:sRNA from 1 species
CACAGGCAUUUGUGGCUGUCCUUGGUAGUCAUCUUGGGUAGGGAGUGAGCUCUCAGGAUCAUCAACCUAAGGAUGGGUGGAGGCCUGUGGCUGAGGGUGCCCGUUUCUCCCAGGGUCGGCCAAGUAGAUAUGGACAUCAAGCUGACCGGACAGUUCAUUCGGGAGCAACACUGUCUGUUCCGGAGCAUCCCCCAGCCAGAUGGAGAAGUGGUGGUCACUCUGGAGCCUUGUGAAGGAGCUGAGACAUAUGUGAAUGGGAAGCUUGUGACGGAGCCGCUGGUGCUGAAGUCAGGGAAUAGGAUUGUGAUGGGCAAGAACCACGUUUUCCGCUUCAACCACCCGGAGCAGGCAAGGCUGGAACGGGAACGAGGGGUCCCCCCACCCCCAGGACCGCCCUCUGAGCCAGUCGACUGGAACUUUGCCCAGAAGGAACUGCUGGAGCAGCAAGGCAUCGACAUCAAGCUGGAAAUGGAGAAGAGGCUGCAGGAUCUGGAGAAUCAGUACCGGAAAGAAAAGGAAGAAGCCGAUCUUCUGCUGGAGCAGCAGCGACUGUAUGCAGACUCGGACAGCGGGGAUGACUCUGACAAGCGCUCUUGUGAAGAGAGCUGGAGGCUCAUCUCCUCCUUGCGGGAGCAGCUGCCGCCCACCACGGUCCAGACCAUUGUCAAACGCUGUGGUCUGCCCAGCAGUGGCAAGCGCAGGGCCCCUCGCAGGGUUUAUCAGAUC